rnacentral:rRNA from 1 species
UACGAGGGGGGCGAGCGUUGUUCGGAAUUAUUGGGCGUAAAGGGUGCGUAGGCGGUUUGGUAAGUCUUAUGUGAAAUCUACAGGCUCAACUUGUAGUCUGCAUGAGAAACUGCCGGGCUUGAGUAUGGGAGAGGUGAGUGGAAUUCCUGGUGUAGCGGUGAAAUGCGUAGAUAUCAGGAGGAACACCUGUGGCGAAAGCGGCUCACUGGACCAUAACUGACGCUCAUGCACGAAAGCGUGGGGAGCAAACAGG